rnacentral:lncRNA from 1 species
CUGCUAGAUGAAAAAGUCAGGAAUUGAAGGCCCGCUGGAUAGGAGGAGACUGGUUGGCCGGAUGUGAUCGACUGAUGACCAUCUCUCGAUCGGACUAAGCUGGUUAUUCGGGCAAGCUGUUGAUUCAUCAACUUAGCCUAUGGGAGUCGACCACUAAGGAGAUAUCGGCGGCCAUGAGUGAGAGUUACCGGAUGAUAGUCGGCGGGCCUUCAUCUGCUCAAGAUG